rnacentral:rRNA from 1 species
UACGGGGGGGGCAAGCGUUGUUCGGAAUUACUGGGCGUAAAGGGCUCGUAGGUGGCCCACUAAGUCAGACGUGAAAUCCCUCGGCUUAACCGGGGAACUGCGUCUGAUACUGGAUGGCUUGAGUUUGGGAGGGGGACGCGGAAUUCCAGGUGUAGCGGUGAAAUGCGUAGAUAUCUGGAGGAACACCGGUGGCGAAGGCGGCGUCCUGGACCAACACUGACGCUGAGGAGCGAAAGCCAGGGGAGCAAACGGG